UAGAAGGCCAAGAGACUGAAGUCCUCCAUUUUUUCACAGAACAGGUAGAACAUGGACAACAGCAGUUCAUCUUUUCCCCUGACCUGGGGGGGCCACCGCUGGGGUGAGAGGGUGGCUCAGUCAUUCAGUCCUUGGCCAUUCUUCUGAAACUGUCAACA
rnacentral:sRNA from 1 species